rnacentral:misc_RNA from 1 species
GAUGAAGAACGUAGCGAAAUGCGAUAAGUAAUGUGAAUUGCAGAAUUCAGUGAAUCAUCGAAUCUUUGAACGCACCUUGCGCCCGCUAGUAUUCUGGCGGGCAUGCCUGUCCGAGCGUCAUUUCAACCCUCAAGCCCCCGGGCUUGGUGUUGGGGAUCGGCGAGCCUCCGCGCCCGCCGUCCCCUAAAUCUAGUGGCGGUCUCGCUGUAGCUUCCUCUGCGUAGUAGCACACCUCGCACUGGGAAACAGCGCGGCCACGCCGUUAAACCCCCAACUUCUGAACGUUUGACCUCGGAUCAGGUAGGAAUACCCGCUGAACUUAAGCAUAUCAAUAAGCGGAGGA